rnacentral:rRNA from 1 species
GUUGAUAAGGUUAAGUGAAUAAGGGCGCACGGUGGAUGCCUUGGCACUAGGAGCCGAUGAAGGACGGGACUAACACCGAUAUGCUUUGGGGAGCUGUACGUAAGCUAUGAUCCAGAGAUUUCCGAAUGGGGGAACCCAGCAUCUUUAAUAGGAUGUUACGAUUGUGUGAAUACAUAGCACAUUCGAGGUAGACGCAGAGAACUGAAACAUCUAAGUACCUGCAGGAAGAGAAAGAAAAUUCGAUUCCCUGAGUAGCGGCGAGCGAAACGGGAAAAGCCCAAACCAACAAGCUUGCUUGUUGGGGUUGUAGGACUCCAAUAUGGUCGUUCUUUCAGAUAGUCGAAUGACUUGGAAAAGUCAGUCAAAGAGGGUAAAAACCCCGUAGACGAAAUGUGGAAGACACCUAGGAGGAUCCUGAGUACGGCGGAACACGAGAAAUUCCGUCGGAAUCCGGGAGGACCAUCUCCCAAGGCUAAAUACUCCCUAGUGACCGAUAGUGAACCAGUACCGUGAGGGAAAGGUGAAAAGCACCCCGGAAGGGGAGUGAAAUAGAACCUGAAACCGUGUGCCUACAACAAGUCAAAGCCCGUUAAUGGGUGAUGGCGUGCCUUUUGUAGAAUGAACCGGCGAGUUACGAUUGCAUGCGAGGUUAAGUUGAAGAGACGGAGCCGCAGCGAAAGCGAGUCUGAAUAGGGCGUUUGAGUAUGUAGUCGUAGACCCGAAACCAUGUGAUCUACCCAUGUCCAGGUUGAAGGUGCGGUAAAACGCACUGGAGGACCGAACCCACGUACGUUGAAAAGUGCGGGGAUGAGGUGUGGGUAGCGGAGAAAUUCCAAACGAACUUGGAGAUAGCUGGUUCUCUCCGAAAUAGCUUUAGGGCUAGCCUCGGAAUUGAGAAUGAUGGAGGUAGAGCACUGUUUGGACUAGGGGCCCAUCUCGGGUUACCGAAUUCAGAUAAACUCCGAAUGCCAUUCAUUCAUAUCCGGGAGUCAGACUGUGAGUGAUAAGAUCCAUAGUCGAAAGGGAAACAGCCCAGACCACCAGCUAAGGUCCCAAAAUAUAUGUUAAGUGGAAAAGGAUGUGGGGUUGCACAGACAACUAGGAUGUUGGCUUAGAAGCAGCCACCAUUUAAAGAGUGCGUAAUAGCUCACUAGUCGAGUGACCCUGCGCCGAAAAUGUACCGGGGCUAAACAUAUUACCGAAGCUGUGGAGUACACCUUUAGGUGUAUUGGUAGGAGAGCGUUCUAAGGGCGUCGAAGGCAGAUCGUGAGGACUGCUGGAGCGCUUAGAAGUGAGAAUGCCGGUAUGAGUAGCGAAAGACAGGUGAGAAUCCUGUCCACCGAAUGACUAAGGUUUCCUGGGGAAGGCUCGUCCGCCCAGGGUUAGUCGGGACCUAAGCCGAGGCCGAUAGGCGUAGGCGAUGGAUAACAGGUUGAUAUUCCUGUACCCGUUGUUUUUGUUUGAGCAAUGGAGGGACGCAGGAGGCUAAGGAAUGCAGACGAUCGGAAAUGUCUGUCCAAGCAGUAAGUCUGAAGAGGAGUCAAAUGCUUCUUUUCUUAAGGACAAGCUGUGAUGGGGAGGGAAAUAAUAGUACCGAAGUUCCUGAUGUCACACUGCCGAGAAAAGCUUCUAGUGAGAAAACAGCGGCCCGUACCGCAAACCGACACAGGUAGUCGAGGAGAGAAUCCUAAGGUGAGCGAGAGAACUCUCGUUAAGGAACUCGGCAAAAUGACCCCGUAACUUCGGGAGAAGGGGUGCUGAUCAUACGAUCAGCCGCAGUGAAUAGGCCCAAGCGACUGUUUAUCAAAAACACAGGUCUCUGCAAAAUCGUAAGAUGAAGUAUAGGGGCUGACGCCUGCCCGGUGCUGGAAGGUUAAGAGGAGUGCUUAGCGCAAGCGAAGGUACGAAUUGAAGCCCCAGUAAACGGCGGCCGUAACUAUAACGGUCCUAAGGUAGCGAAAUUCCUUGUCGGGUAAGUUCCGACCCGC